rnacentral:lncRNA from 1 species
AUGUUUAUGAUUGCAAAAAUUUCUUCUUGCGCUAGUAUUAUGUGAUUUAAAGUGUCAUUUUCACACGCUAUAAUUUUAUUUUUUGGCUAUUUUUUUACUAUUUUUUUAUUUAAUUAGUGACAAAAUUAAAAUUAAAAGAUACCUAAGUAAAUUAUAAAUAGGGUAUCUAAAAUUUGUUGUAUAUGAUUUAACGAAAAGUUAACGAAGAGAUUGGUGAAAAAAAAAAACCACCAAACACUAAAUUGAUACAUUUUAAACCAUAUGAUACUAAAAUGAGAAAUUGUGAAAUUACUGGGAUGGUAUUUGAAGAUUACCCUUUAUAAUUUUUAUUUUUAUU